rnacentral:tRNA from 1 species
GGCCGUGUGGUCUAGUAGUAUGAUACUCGCUUUGGGUUUGCGAGUGGUCCAGGGUUCAAUUCCCUGCUCGGCCC